AAGGGGCUCACUGCAGCUAACAGCCUCAACCCUUGGGCUAGGAAGCCACAGGAGCAAAACCUCCGCCCCGGCCUGAAAGCAACCGGUAGACCGCGAAGCCACUGCCACCGACUCAGUCCUGCCCAGCAGGGGCCCGCCCAGGGGCCACUCCCCAAGGGAGGCAGCCACUCACUCGCCCGCCCUUCCGGGCCCACUCCCGAGGGGACGGUCUCCCGCCCGCUCUCACACACAGCUAGCUCCUCAGGCCAGGCCCCCAGGGCUUCGUCCACCUCUCACCUUUGACGACGCGAGUCUGGAAUUGUCAAGAGUCUGAAGGCACAGAAUAAGAAUGCAGCUAGAGAAAUUUCGGCGCCACAGUUUGUCAAAACAGGUAAGGGGAAGAAAGAAGAUGACACCAAGAGAUGUGCAAAGAAUCUGAAGAAUUCACCUGAAAAGGACACAGCCUCCUCCUGGAAGGCAGAGGAGUAAAUAGGGAAUUGGAAAUUAAUUCCUUAUUUCUGUGCAUGCACAGAACCUGGGCCCAGGUGAUUAUGGACCCUUUAUAGAGACCAAGGUGACUGACAUUCAUGGGAAAGGGGGUAGAGGGAAAAGAAUUGACUGUUUAUCAAAAAUUAUUAGACGAGUGCAUCCACGACACCAGGAGAUAUGUUGAAUCAUGGACAGGGACCAGCAUGUCCACUAAGCUCUAUAUAUCUUGAUGGUGCAGGAUCCAAGUGGGAUGGAACAACAAAUUCCUGCCCAUCGUCCUGCUCAAUAAUACAUGUGCUCAGAAUCUGUUCAUAAUGGAUGGUGAUAAGUAAGUAGUAGCCCGAAGGUCUCAGGAAGAGUACCUUUCCACCUCUUCUUUGUGUCAGUUUCAAUCCUGAGACCCGAGGUGAAAGACGAAGGGAAAGACCAACAAUGGGUAUUUUCCAAAAAGGGAACCCACAAGCUAUUAUUUAGAGAGAAGAGUCUCAGGAGUGAGGCACGGGUGAAAAUGGAUUUUUCUGGCAUGGAAGGGCCGUAACACUACAGGGGAAGGGAAAGGGAAAGGCCCCCAUGGAAGGAGAGGAAGGAACAGGAGGCAUGUCACAAACUUAUAAGAUAGAGGAAAGGCACCCAGAGUACAUCGAUCAGGAGUGAGUUUGUAAGAAGAGCUUGAAUCCCCAGAAAAUCUCCCUAAGGAGGGGAGGAAGGAAGGAAGUGUAUAAUGUACUGAGUACUGAAUGCUCUAUCAGGAAAGGGAUGGGAAACAUCCUAGCAGCAAUAGUAAAAAGGACAGCCACCCUAUUUUAGGACCCAUUGAUUCCCACCUUGAUUGUAUAUCCUUCAACUCCUCUCUGGCUCCUCACUUCCACUCAGUCAAAAGCCACUUCAUAUAUUUAUCUAGGCCUCCCCGCCCCAGUACAAAAAAAGCAAGAGCAUACAAAGGGAAGAAUGACAAGGAAUUAAAUAGAACUAUCUUAUAGAUUUAUUAAUGAAAAAUACUUUACAAAAACAGUAUGUUUGGCCUAAAAUAGUUCAGCUGAUUCUGAGGGUUCACAACAACAACUGAGCAAGUGGUAAUAAUGGCUGUGCUGAGGAUAGAAGGCUGUGUUAGUGUGCCUGACUCCAUCUGUUCAAAAGGGUGGAUAUUAUGUUGGCAGCUCCGCAUUCUAGGCCUAAGGUUUGGAGGGCACAAGGAAUGCUGACAGGCCAUAAUACCUGGGCAGGGGGCUGCCCUGAUGAUGUAAUCAGAACCAUGACCACAGGGCUACAUGUCCCCCCAAGGAUGGGAGAUAGGGAAGA